rnacentral:rRNA from 1 species
UACAGAGGUCCCAAGCGUUGUUCGGAUUCACUGGGCGUAAAGGGUGCGUAGGUGGCUUGGUAAGUUUGAUGUGAAAUCUCCGGGCUUAACCCGGAAAUGGCAUUGAAUACUAUUGAGCUGGAGGUUUGGAGGGGGGACUGGAAUUCUCGGUGUAGCAGUGAAAUGCGUAGAUAUGUCUCAGAACACCGAUUGCGAAGGCAGCUUACUAUGGUGUCAAUGACACUGAGGCACGAAAGCGUGGGGAUCAAACAGG